UUAGUAACUGCGAGUGAAGCGGCAAAAGCUCAAAUUUGAAAUCGGUGUGCCUAAAGUACAUCGAGUUGUAAUUUGGAGGGACAACUUCGGGCUGAACCACACCGUAAGUUUCUUGGAACAGGACAUCAUAGAGGGUGAGAAUCCCGUGUCUUGGUGUAGGGUCAAACCGUGUGAAGUGUCUCCGACGAGUCGAGUUGUUUGGGAAUGCAGCUCAAAAUGGGUGGUAAAUUUCAUCUAAAGCUAAAUAUUGGCGAGAGACCGAUAGCGCACAAGUAGAGUGAUCGAAAGAUGAAAAGCACUUUGAAAAGAGAGUUAAAAAGUACGUGAAAUUGUUGAAAGGGAAGCGCUUACGACCAGACUCGAUCUUUGGUGAUCAGCCGGACUUCGGUUCGGUGCCCUCGCCAUUGAUUGGGCCAGCAUCGGUUCCGACGGUGGGAUAAAAGGAGGAGGAAUGUAGCUCCCCGAGUCGGAGAGUGUUAUAGCCACCUUCACAAUGCCACCAGUUGGGACCGAGGACCGCGCUUUGGCUAGGAUGCUGGUGUAAUGGUCUUAAGCGACCCGUCUUGAAACACGGACCAAGGAGUCUAACAUCUAUGCGAGUGUUCGGGUGGAAAACCCUUGCGCGUAAUGAAAGUGAACGGAGGUGUGAACCCUUUACGGGGUGCAACAUCGACCGGUCCUGAUGUCUUCGGAAGGAUCUGAGUAAGAGCAUAGCUGUUGGGACCCGAAAGAUGGUGAACUAUGCCUGAAUAGGGUGAAGCCAGAGGAAACUCUGGUGGAGGCUCGCAGCGGUUCUGACGUGCAAAUCGAUCGUCAAAUUUGGGUAUAGGGGCGAAAGACUAAUCGAACCAUCUAGUAGCUGGUCCU
rnacentral:rRNA from 1 species